UACGGGGGGGGUAAGCGUUGUUCGGAAUUACUGGGCGUAAAGGGCUCGUAGGCGGCCAACUAAGUCAGACGUGAAAUCCCUCAGCUUAACUGGGGAACUGCGUCUGAUACUGGAUGGCUUGGAUUCGGGAGAGGAAUGCGGAAUUCCAGGUGUAGCGGUGAAAUGCGUAGAUAUCGGGAAGAACACCCGUGGCGAAGGCGGCUCUCUGGGACGGUACUGACGCUGAGACGCGAAAGCGUGGGGAGCGAACAGG
rnacentral:rRNA from 1 species